rnacentral:rRNA from 1 species
GACGAACGCUGGCGGCGUGCUUAACACAUGCAAGUCGAGCGGUAAGGCCCUUUCGGGGGUACACGAGCGGCGAACGGGUGAGUAACACGUGGGUGACCUGCCCUUAGCUCUGGGAUAAGCCUGGGAAACUGGGUCUAAUACCGGAUAUGACUCCAUGAUGCAUGUUGUGGGGUGGAAAGCCUUGUGCGGCUAGGGAUGGGCCCGCGGCCUAUCAGCUUGUUGGUGGGGUGAUGGCCUACCAAGGCGACGACGGGUAGCCGGCCUGAGAGGGCGACCGGCCACACUGGGACUGAGACACGGCCCAGACUCCUACGGGAGGCAGCGGUGGGGAAUAUUGGACAAUGGGCGAAAGCCUGAUCCAGCGAUGCCGCGUGUGUGAAGAAGGCCU